rfam:Advenella mimigardefordensis DPN7, complete genome.
CGCCUUGAUCCUGAAAGGGUAACGGUGUCGAACCGGAGCGAGGACUCAGCAGAGGUCAUAGUAGUCGUGGUAGCCGAAUCGGGGAGGUUCGGAGUCGAAGCGACGAAGGAC